rnacentral:rRNA from 1 species
AGACGUCUACAUUAGAUACCCGCGUAGUCCCAGCCGUAAACUAUGCGCGUUAGGUGUAUCGGUGACCACGAGUUACCGAGGUGCCGAAGGGAAACCGUGAAACGUGCCGCCUGGGAAGUACGGUCGCAAGGCUGAAACUUAAAGGAAUUGGCGGGGGAGCACCACAACAGGUGGAGCCUGCGGUUUAAUUGGACUCAACGCCGGACAACUCACCGGGGACGACAGCAAUAUGUAGGCCAGGCUGAAGACCUUGCCUGAAUCGCUG